rnacentral:lncRNA from 1 species
AUGUUGCCCAGGCUGGUCUUGAACUUCUGGGCUCAAGUGAUCCUCCUGCCUCGGCCUCCCACAGCACUGGGCGCACAGGCAGCCAACUCCCACGCCUCCCAUCAUCUGUCAGCAACCUCCCUGUUCUCAGUCCCUGGGCCGGGCGGCGCCCACUCUGCCUGGCUCCAGGGAGGCUCCUCGUCCCCAGUGCCUGUGGCACCCAGACCAGGAGCCUCUCUGAGCCAGGGCUUGUUUUCACAACCCCACGUGCAACACAACCAAAGUGACAAAAGACCGAAAACACAUGUCUGGCUUCUUUACAAAAAUGACGAUUCUGUAACAUGUCCUGAAAUAGAAACGCUGUUCCUGAAAAGCUACAGCAUGAGAACAGAAGGAGGUCAGGGAGAAAGGAGGAUGGUGCCGGACUUACCGAGGACGGCCUCCACGGUGCUGCCAGCGGGGCUGAGCGGGAGGGCGGUGGGGCGGCAGUGCAGUGGGGAGGAGCUGCCGGAGCCGGCGCUGGACGCCAGGCUGGACGCCACGCUGGAGCUCACGCUGGGGGCCGGCAGGUGGACGGCUGCAAACACGGCCAGGUGGUUCUGUUCAAAGACACAAACACCGUCAGCACGUGCCCCCUGCGUGGAGGAGGCAGCGCCACGUCAGCACCCUGCAGAAAGCACCACGGGACAGUGGCCGACUUCCACGCCCUGGCGAGGCCCGGGGAGAGUUUCCCAGACCCGGAGGGACUCUGACCGCACUGAGGAGAAACACCAGGACGGGCACGGCAGCGGGCUAUGGUGCACUUGGGAAAGGCACAGACACCUCUGGGAAGUGUCUCGUGAGCUUUUCUGCAGAAAAUGUUUCAGGAGUAGACAUCUGCCAGUAAAAAUCAAUCCGGCAGGUGCAGAAAGAUGUGUCAGAGGCCAGGGGCCUGCCAGCCCAAGGGGCACACCUCCUGGGUGCCCCCACCCCAGCUCUCACUCAGGACUGGCUCCUGAGCACCUGUGGGGGCCCCCAGAGAAAUGUCCUCCCAGGGACUUAAAAAGAGACCCAGCACCACUUCUAAAACAUCCAUAG